CCUACGGGUGGCAGCAGUGGGGAAUAUUGGACAAUGGGCGAAAGCCUGAUCCAGCCAUGCCGCGUGUGUGAAGAAGGCCUUCGGGUUGUAAAGCACUUUCAGUGGGGAAGAAAGCCUUGGGGCUAAUACCCUCGAGGAAGGACAUCACCCACAGAAGAAGCACCGGCUAACUCCGUGCCAGCAGCCGCGGUAAUACGGAGGGUGCGAGCGUUAAUCGGAAUUACUGGGCGUAAAGCGCGCGUAGGCGGUCUGAUAAGCCGGUUGUGAAAGCCCCGGGCUCAACCUGGGAACGGCAUCCGGAACUGUCAGGCUAGAGUGCAGGAGAGGAAGGGAGAAUUCCCGGUGUAGCGGUGAAAUGCGUAGAGAUCGGGAGGAAUACCAGUGGCGAAGGCGGCCUUCUGGACUGACACUGACGCUGAGGUGCGAAAGCGUGGGUAGCAAACAGGAUUAGAUACCCUGGUAGUC
rnacentral:rRNA from 1 species